rnacentral:rRNA from 1 species
AACCCGGUGAUCUAGCCAUGGGCAGGUUGAAGGUUGGGUAACACUAACUGGAGGACCGAACCGACUAAUGUUGAAAAAUUAGCGGAUGACUUGUGGCUGGGGGUGAAAGGCCAAUCAAACCGGGAGAUAGCUGGUUCUCCCCGAAAGCUAUUUAGGUAGCGCCUCGUGAAUUCAUCUCCGGGGGUAGAGCACUGUUUCGGCAAGGGGGUCAUCCCGACUUACCAACCCGAUGCAAACUGCGAAUACCGGAGAAUGUUAUCACGGGAGACACACGGCGGGUGCUAACGUCCGUCGUGAAGAGGGAAACAACCCAGACCGCCAGCUAAGGUCCCAAAGUCAUGGUUAAGUGGGAAACGAUGUGGGAAGGCCCAGACAGCCAGGAUGUUGGCUUAGAAGCAGCCAUCAUUUAAAGAAAGCGUAAUAGCUCACUGGUCGAGUCGGCCUGCGCGGAAGAUGUAACGGGGCUAAACCAUGCACCGAAGCUGCGGCAGCGACGCUGAUGCGUUGUUGGGUAGGGGAGCGUUCUGUAAGCCUGUGAAGGUGUGCUGUGAGGCAUGCUGGAGGUAUCAGAAGUGCGAAUGCUGACAUAAGUAACGAUAAAGCGGGUGAAAAGCCCGCUCGCCGGAAGACCAAGGGUUCCUGUCCAACGUUAAUCGGGGCAGGGUGAGUCGACCCCUAAGGCGAGGCCGAAAGGCGUAGUCGAUGGGAAACAGGUUAAUAUUCCUGUACUUGGUGUUACUGCGAAGGGGGGACGGAGAAGGCUAUGUUGGCCGGGCGACGGUUGUCCCGGUUUAAGCGUGUAGGCUGGUUUUCCAGGCAAAUCCGGAAAAUCAAGGCUGAGGCGUGAUGACGAGGCACUACGGUGCUGAAGCAACAAAUGCCCUGCUUCCAGGAAAAGCCUCUAAGCAUCAGGUAACAUCAAAUCGUACCCCAAACCGACACAGGUGGUCAGGUAGAGAAUACCAAGGCGCUUGAGAGAACUCGGGUGAAGGAACUAGGCAAAAUGGUGCCGUAACUUCGGGAGAAGGCACGC